rnacentral:lncRNA from 1 species
AAAUCAUGCCUUUAAUGAUUUUUCCCAGGUUUGCUCAAAUUUUUUCAUUAAAGUUCAAUGUUUCAUCUCAUUAAUUCAUCAAAGAAACUGAUUGAAGCAAAGAUCUUGUAAUAUUUGCGCAAGGCAUUCAAAAAUUGCUCCUUUGGGGCUUGUAAAUGAGCAGUGUUAAGAAGAUAACAGACAAAUGGGACUUUCAUUGUCCAUGAAAUUACACUUAAAUGAUUAGUAAAGACAUCUGCAAAGGGUACACAAUUUAAAAUUCUAUUAGAGCAAAGAAAUCUUAAGAAUUCAAGAAAAGAAGAAAGGAUGAUUUUUUUACUUAUACAAGUAAAAAAUUCUGAAUGCCUAAGGGACAUAACUAAGCC